rnacentral:tRNA from 1 species
GGUUCCAUAGUGUAGCGGUUAGCAUGUCUGUUUUACAUGCAAAAGUCCUGGGUUUGUGCCCCAGUGGAGCCA